rnacentral:rRNA from 1 species
UGGCGGCAAUAGCAAGUGUGAACCACCCGAUUCCAUCUCGAACUCGGAAGUGAAACCAUUUAGCGCCGAUGAUAGUGUAGGGUUUCUCUAUGUGAAAGUAGGUCACUGCCAG